UACGGCCAUAUCACCUUGAAACACCUGUUCUCGCACGAUCAUAACGUUAAGCUACGUCGAGGCUGGUUAGUACCGGGAUGGGUGACCGCUUGGGAGUAUUAGGUGUUGUAAG